rnacentral:rRNA from 1 species
AAAUCCGGUACUCGUUAAGGCUGAGCUGUGAUGGGGAGAAGACAUUGUGUCUUCGAGUCGUUGAUUUCACACUGCCGAGAAAAGCCUCUAGAUAGAAAAUAGGUGCCCGUACCGCAAACCGACACAGGUAGUCAAGAUGAGAAUUCUAAGGUGAGCGAGCGAACUCUCGUUAAGGAACUCGGCAAAAUGACCCCGUAACUUCGGGAGAAGGGGUGCUCUUUAGGGUUAACGCCCAGAAGAGCCGCAGUGAAUAGGCCCAAGCGACUGUUUAUCAAGAACACAGGUCUGUGCGAAAGCGGAAGGUGAUGUAUAGGGGCUGACGCCUGCCCGGUGCAGGAAGGUUAAGAGGAGUGGUUAGCUUCUGCGAAGCUACGAAUCGAAGCCCCAGUAAACGGCGGCCGUAACUAUAACGGUCCUAAGGUAGCGAAAUUCCUUGUCGGGUAAGU